GAAGGUGUAGCUCAGUGGUAGAGUAUGUAGCUCAGUGGUACCCAGCAUGCACGAGGUCCUGGGUUCAAUCCUCAGUACCUCCA
rnacentral:tRNA from 1 species